AUUGAACGCUGGCGGCAUGCCUUACACAUGCAAGUCGAACGGCAGCACGGGUGCUUGCACCUGGUGGCGAGUGGCGAACGGGUGAGUAAUACAUCGGAACAUGUCCUGUAGUGGGGGAUAGCCCGGCGAAAGCCGGAUUAAUACCGCAUACGAUCUACGGAUGAAAGCGGGGGACCUUCGGGCCUCGCGCUAUAGGGUUGGCCGAUGGCUGAUUAGCUAGUUGGUGGGGUAAAGGCCUACCAAGGCGACGAUCAGUAGCUGGUCUGAGAGGACGACCAGCCACACUGGGACUGAGACACGGCCCAGACUCCUACGGGAGGCAGCAGUGGGGAAUUUUGGACAAUGGGCGAAAGCCUGAUCCAGCAAUGCCGCGUGUGUGAAGAAGGCCUUCGGGUUGUAAAGCACUUUUGUCCGGAAAGAAAUCCUUGGCCCUAAUACGGUCGGGGGAUGACGGUACCGGAAGAAUAAGCACCGGCGAACUACGU
rnacentral:rRNA from 1 species